rnacentral:lncRNA from 1 species
AUAUAUUCAUUAAAAUAUCACACAGGUAAUUCCUCAUUUCCCUAGUAGCUCUUACCACCUUUCCAGAUUUGAGUGUUGAAGAGACCAGUCUUCUUACUGGCUGCCCCAGGCAUUCAGCAAAACUCAGUCUUUGUAGGAAUGUCUUAGAUCUGCUUUUUUAGAUGGAACCUAGUCUAUAUCAGUUUACUAGUUCCAUACGACGUGGCUAAACUCAUUUUUCAGAUGCUUUGAAUGGAGUAUAGAAGACUAUUGCUUUACUAAAAAAGCAAACAUGAAAACUUCAAGCCUCACAGUCAGCUCCUAUCAAUUUCCCUUUAAUUACCUCCUCAAGUACCUGUUAAUGGCUCAUUAGUUAUAAAAAUAAAUUAUAGGUACUCUGCCACCCUGUUUGUAGUUUCUUUAGUUUUUGAUUUCGCUAACCCCAGGAAAAUGGAUGUGUGGCAAUAAUACAGGAAUGUGAAUCAAAUUGCUCUGUAAUUUUAUAUAUUUAAUAAAGUAUACAGCAGGGCCGUGUGCACAUGGGGUUAAGCUGUGGUGGAGGAAAGUGCUCUGUGAGAAAACUGAAGUCCUCAUACACCAUGUUGGCUGCCUAUGUUUCAUUUCACGACAUAGUGCUCAGCAAAUAGGGCUGAUUGGUUUUCAGUCCGGUUUUGUGUGGU